GGAGACGUGCGGCGAAUGGUAAGCCAACGGUUUGCUAAACCGUAACCGUGUAAAAGCGGUUUGUGGGUUCGACUCCCACCGUCUCCG
rnacentral:tRNA from 5 species